GGAGCAACGACUGUUACACCACUUCUUCAAAUCAACAUAGCAAUUGUCCUGACCAAAAGAAAGUCGUCGUCUCAGAGGUGAAAUUUAACAAUUGUAAGGUCAAGAAAAGCGUAAACACAGCUACAUACAUCACAGGUAUACCAGAUCAUUAAACAGGAAUUACUGCAAGUUCAUACUAUUUG